UGUUUAGUGUGCCCCCCACUGGCCAGAUAUAGCUACUGCAUUCAGAGAUGUGCACUCCUUGAUUGGGUCAAAGGUUAAAAGCAAGAUGGCCGCCUUAAGUCAGGUGUGUGGACAAUGAGCUCGGCAUGCAAGCAAGCCUCUCUGGUUAGCUCGUCUCCUGACCUCCUCGCCUGAACAAACAAAUGCGAUAACUGGGCAGAUUUGAGCAUUUUUCGCAUCUUCAAACUCAGCCAGGACCCGACGAACGGUCAUCUCUCAACGAUUAUCC